UACGUAGGUGGCAAGCGUUGUCCGGAUUUAUUGGGCGUAAAGGGCGCGCAGGCGGUUCGUUUAGUCCGAGGUGAAAUCUCCCGGCUCAACUGGGAGUGGUCUUUGGAUACGGGCGGACUUGAGGUGAGCAGAGGUGAGCGGAAUUCUGGGUGUAGUGGUGAAAUGCGUAGAUAUCCAGAGGAACACCAGUGGCGAAGGCGGCUCACUGGGCUCUACCUGACGCUGAGGCGCGAAAGCGUGGGGAUCAAACAGG
rnacentral:rRNA from 1 species